AUAUAUAUAUUUGGUGGAAUAACCCUUGUUUCUUAUCACAGUUUUUAUUGUGGCGUCUUGGCAUGUUCUCCCUCCUCCACCAGUCUUACACACUGCUUUUGGAUAACUUUAUGCUGCUUUACUCCUGGUGCAAAAAUUCAAGCAGUUCAGUUUGGUUUGAUGUUCAUCUUGUGAUCAUCCAUCUUCCUUUAGAUUAUAUUCAAGAGGUUUUUAAUUUGGUAAAAUGAAAGAAGCUCAUCAUUUUUAAGUGCUCUCUUAUUUAUUUAUUUUUAUUUUUUUUCCAGAGCUGUAUAUAAACACUGGAAAUAAUUAAAGGUGUUCAUUAAGAUUUUUUUCAGUUGUUUAUUAUCAGCCCUUAAAGGUUCAUUUCUAGAAGUCCCUCAAAUAUUCAGGGCGCAGAAACGACAGGAUGGUGUCGAUGAAACGCAGUUGAUGAAAGCUGAAAGGAAUUUCAGAUAUCGCAUAUGGUGUCUAUAACUGAGCUUCUGUAAUGCAUGGGCGGCCGUUUGACAGAUUGCAGUACUUUUCCAAUUUUCAUCCCACCCUGCGGUAAAAAUGUGCAUGUGUGCGUGAGCCGUUAUCUAAAUUGAAUCAGUAACAACACUGGCACACAGUUAUCUUCUUUAAAAGCAGUUUAAUGAAAUUACAAAAAAAGUAUACAGAAAAAAAUAGAUCAAACAUAGUGCAAAAAGAUGUAAAGUGCUUCCACAGACCUGGGAACAGUCCGAAGGUACGAUUCAGUAAAGGUGCUUUUUUUUUUUUAAGUAAGACUUAGACUAAGAGAAUAAGCUGUUUACAUGUGAUCAAACGAUUCGUAUUAUUUUUUUUUU